UUCGUAUUUAUUAAUUUCUGUAUUUGUUAUUUUGGUUCUAAGUGAAUCGUUAGAAUUAAAGACGAAUUCGAAACGUGCAGGAGUGUUAUUUACAUAGCCAAUUACUGCGGGCCCAGAAAUAUACGGGCCCCGUAUAGUAAAAGGAAGCUGUCUGAAAUUUUGUCGUGGUAAAUAAACAUGGCAGGGACCACGAAAAAUUCUUGUUAAACUGAUUAAACACUGUGCCAUUGAAUAAACCAUUCAGGAUCUCAAGACAAAAGGACUGGAUACAUGAAUUUUUGGGUUACAAGUUCAUAAUAAAAUGAUGUACAAUUUAAUAUUACAUUACUCUUGUCGUGUAAGGGUACAGAGCGAAUCAUUUACUCGACAAUAGUCUUCGAGAUAGAGAGAAAAGAUUCCUAAUACCGUUGAUUUAAUUAACUCCGCCGAACGAAGCUAACCGAUAUUUGGACUCUUCAAGAAAAAAAAAAUGCGAUUUCUUGGUGUUUUCAUCACUUUGUUCCU